GACAGAGAGAGUGUGAGAGAGAGACUUAAUUCAGUAUAAAUAGUCACGAGAAAAGGUAAAUUGAGUAUGAAUAGUCAGAGAGAGAGAGGGUUAAUUCAGUAUAAAUAGUCAGAGAGAGACAGAGAGAGUGUGAGAGAGAGACUUA